AUACCUUUAAUUGUUGCUUCGGCGGGACUUCGCGCCCGCCGGGGACCCAAACCUUCUGAAUUUUUUAAUAAGUAUCUUCUGAGUGGUUAAAAAAAAUGAAUCAAAACUUUCAACAACGGAUCUCUUGGUUCUGGCAUCGAUGAAGAACGCAGCGAAAUGCGAUAAGUAAUGUGAAUUGCAGAAUUCAGUGAAUCAUCGAAUCUUUGAACGCACAUUGCGCCCGUCAGUAUUCUGGCGGGCAUGCCUGUUCGAGCGUCAUUACGCCCCUCAAGUCCCCUGUGGACUUGGUGUUGGGGAUCGGCGAGGCUGGUUUUCCAGCACAGCCGUCCCUCAAAUCAAUUGGCGGUCUCGCCGUGGCCCUCCUCUGCGCAGUAGUAAAACACUCGCAACAGGAGCCCGGCGCGGUCCACUGCCGUAAAA
rnacentral:rRNA from 1 species